rnacentral:ribozyme from 1 species
GGGAAUGGAAAAUAAAAUCCAUUCCCUUUUUCUUUAAUGCAGCUUGGAAGAAAUUCCAAAUGGUCACAAGCCCAUAAAGAUGCAGAGUGGAGA